UUUUAGUCUCAGAUUUAGCCUUUCACUGUGACAUCAACAUAUCUGCAUGUUAAGAAUCAAGAACAUUAUUCAGGAGACAUUCUAAAGAUGAGCUCUUCUCCAGGUUUGCUGACUGUGCUACUCCUAAUGCUUGGAGGAACCAGUGGAGACUCUGUGACCCAGAUGGAAGGUCAAGUGACCCUCUCAGAAGGGGAUCUCCUGACUGUGAACUGCACUUACACAACCACAAGCUACCCCACUCUUUUCUGGUAUGUUCAGUAUCCUGGAGAGAGUCCACAGCUCCUCCUGAAGGCCACAAAAGCCAAAGAAAAGGGAAGCAACAAAGGUUUUGAAGCCACAUACAAUGAGGAAACCACCUCCUUCCACUUGGAGAAACCCUCAAUCCAAGAGUCAGAUUCUGCUGUGUACUUCUGUGCUCUGAGUGACACAGUGAUGUGA